rnacentral:rRNA from 1 species
ACCAGACUCCUACGGGAGGCAGCAGUGAGGAAUAUUGGUCAAUGGGCUUACGCCUGAACCAGCCAAGUCGCGUGAGGGAAGACUGCCCUAUGGGUUGUAAACCUCUUUUGUCAGGGAGCAACGCCGGCUACGUGUAGCCGGACUGAGAGUACCUGAAGAAAAAGCAUCGGCUAACUACGUGCCAGCAGCCGCGGUAAUACGUAGGGAGCGAGCGUUAUCCGGAAUUAUUGGGUGUAAAGGGUGCGUAGACGGGAAAACAAGUUAGUUGUGAAAUCCCUCGGCUUAACUGAGGAACUGCAACUAAAACUAUUUUUCUUGAGUGCAGGAGAGGUAAGUGGAAUUCCUAGUGUAGCGGUGAAAUGCGUAGAUAUUAGGAGGAACACCAGUGGCGAAGGCGACUUACUGGACUGUAACUGACGUUGAGGCACGAAAGUGUGGGGAGCAAACAGGAUUAGAUACCCGCGUAC